rnacentral:lncRNA from 1 species
CGAUACAUGCCCCUCCUCUACCUCAACCUCGGCCUUGGCCUCUCCCAGCUCUAGCAGGGUGCAUGGGUGUCUACUCGGUUGAUCUGGUAGUGCGUUUCCUCACCAUCUGUGAGAGAAUAAAAUUAUAAAGGCUCAAACUUCAAAUCAAUAAAUCUGCAUGACAGGAAUAAAAAAAGUGUAGUUUUCCUAAUAGUUCCUAAGCCUCCUAAUGAUAAGUACAGACGUCUUCGUACCGAUUUGCAGGACUCUACUAAACUUGUUUGUGACUCGUAGAACCUACGAACCUAGAGCUCUAAUACAAACUUGUAACAACCCAAUAUCCCGCCUUAUGCGUCGUGAUGGCACCUAUUAUCUAAGGCUAGGUAAGUCGAUUACUUAC